rnacentral:rRNA from 1 species
AUUGAACGCUGGCGGCAGGCCUAACACAUGCAAGUCGAGCGGAGCGGCGGACGGGUGCGUAAUGCCUAGGAAUCUGCCUGGUAGUGGGGGAUAACGUUCGGUAAUGGGCGCUAAUACCGCAUACUUUCAGUUGAGCCUAGGUCGGAUUAGCUAGUUGGGGGGGUAAAGGCCUACCAAGGCGACGAUCCGUAACUGGUAUGAGAGGAUGAUCAGUCACACUGGAACUGAGACACGGUCCAGACUCCUACGGGAGGCAGCAGUGGGGAAUAUUGCACAAUGGGCGAAAGCCUGAUCCAGCCAUGCCGCGUGUGUGAAGAAGGUCUUCGGAUUGUAAAGCACUUUAAGUUGGGAGGCGUUACCAGCAGAAGAAGCACCGGCUAACUUCGUGCCAGCAGCCGCGGUAAUAC